GCGCUUCAAAUGAUUAAACACACACACACACAUAUACACACGCAUGGGGUGCGCGCACAUUUGUAACAGUUAAUUUACUUUGAAGCUUCUUUUUUUCGGGUGACUUUGUUAAAUCACAAGUUAACUUUUGUAAUGAAGCGCAGCCAGCGCAGCUCCCUUCGCUUUAUGUGUGUGGGAUGUUUGUCGCUUUAAAAAGCAAUGGGCAAUGGCUGAAUAAUGAUGAUGAUAAUGCUGCUGAUGACAACGAGCUUGUCUGAAAGCAACGCGAAAAAAAAUACUUGACUAAGUAUUCAAGCAAACACGCGCGCGACACAAAAAAAUUAUUGUACGAAGUACGCAGAGCUGCCAACAAAAUGUGAGCCGACGAGAAUUGCUGCUACAAGAAGAAAAUACUAGUCGUAUACUCAAUAUUUAACUGAACCUACAUCGACACUUAAUCUCCAAGCAACAGCAAUUCAAAGAAAAU